AUUGAACGCUGGCGGCAUGCCUUACACAUGCAAGUCGAACGGCAGCGCGGGAGCAAUCCUGGCGGCGAGUGGCGAACGGGUGAGUAAUAUAUCGGAACGUGCCCAGUAGUGGGGGAUAGCCCGGCGAAAGCCGGAUUAAUACCGCAUACGACCUGAGGGUGAAAGGGGGGGAUCGCAAGACCUCUCGCUAUUGGAGCGGCCGAUAUCAGAUUAGGUAGUUGGUGGGGUAAAGGCCUACCAAGCCUGCGAUCUGUAGUUGGUCGGAGAGGACGACCAGCCACACUGGGACUGAGCCAGGGCCCAGACUCCGACGGGAGGCAGCAGUGGGGAAUUUUGGGCAAUGGGCGCAAGCCUGAUCCGGCGAGGCCGCGUGCAGGAAGAGGGCCUUCGGGUUGUAAACUGCUUUUGUCAGGGAAGAAAUCCUCUAGGCUAAUACCUUGGGGGGAUGACGGUACCUGAAGAAUAAGCACCGGCUAACUACGUGCCAGCCGCCGCCGUAAAAC
rnacentral:rRNA from 1 species